UACGUAGGGCGCAAGCGUUGUCCGGAAUCAUUGGGCGUAAAGAGCUCGUAGGUGGUCUGUUACGUCUGCUGUGAAAUCCUAGGGCUUAACCCUGGGCCUGCAGUGGAUACGGGCAGACUAGAGGUAGGUAGGGGAGAAUGGAAUUCCCGGUGUAGCGGUGAAAUGCGCAGAUAUCGGGAGGAACACCGGUGGCGAAGGCGGCAUCCUGGACCGAGAUUGACACUGAUGAGCGAAAGCUAGGGGAGCAAACGGG
rnacentral:rRNA from 1 species